rnacentral:rRNA from 1 species
UACAGAGGGCGCGAGCGUUGUCCGGAAUCACUGGGCGUAAAGGGCGCGUAGGUGGCCGACCAUAAGGCCGGCGGUGAAAGUUCGGGGCUCAACCCCGGAUCGGCCGCGGCGACUGUGGGGCUUGGGUACUGUAGAGGCAGAUGGAAUUCCGGGUGUAGCGGUGGAAUGCGUAGAGAUCCGGAAGAACACCAGUGGCGAAGGCGGUCUGCUGGGCGAGUGGACUCGAGAG